GAUUGAACGCUAGCGGGAUGCUUUACACAUGCAAGUCGAACGGCAGCGCGAGGAAAGCUUGCUUUUCUUGGCGGCGAGUGGCGAACGGGUGAGUAAUAUAUCGGAACGUGCCCAGUAGCGGGGGAUAACUACGCGAAAGCGUGGCUAAUACCGCAUACGCCCUACGGGGGAAAGGGGGGGAUUCUUCGGAACCUCUCACUAUUGGAGCGGCCGAUAUCAGAUUAGCUAGUUGGUGGGGUAAAGGCCUACCAAGGCUGCGAUCUGUAGCUGGUUUGAGAGGACGACCAGCCACACUGGGACUGAGACACGGCCCAGACUCCUACGGGAGGCAGCAGUGGGGAAUUUUGGACAAUGGGGGCAACCCUGAUCCAGCCAUCCCGCGUGUGCGAUGAAGGCCUUCGGGUUGUAAAGCACUUUUGGCAGGGAAGAAACGGCGCCGGAUAAUACCUGGCGUCACUGACGGUACCUGCAGAAUAAGCACCGGCUAACUACGUGCCAGCAGCCGCGGUAAUACGUAGGGUGCAAGCGUUAAUCGGAAUUACUGGGCGUAAAGCGUGCGCAGGCGGUUCGGAAAGAAAGAUGUGAAAUCCCAGAGCUUAACUUUGGAACUGCAUUUUUAACUGCCGAGCUAGAGUAUGUCAGAGGGGGGUAGAAUUCCACGUGUAGCAGUGAAAUGCGUAGAGAUGUGGAGGAAUACCGAUGGCGAAGGCAGCCCCCU
rnacentral:rRNA from 1 species